UUGCAGCCAUAUAAUGUUGAAACACCGGUUCUCAUAUGGUCACUGAAGUUAAGCAACAGCAAUCCUGGUCUGUACCUAGAUGGGUGACCACUUGGAAUACUAUGUGCUGUAAG